UCAACUCCGUAGUCGAACUGGUCAGCAGCAGCGUCAGUCUCGUAGUCUACCGGAGAGAAGAGGGGGAAGAAAUAAUGAAUACAGAGCAAACAAAGCAUCACAAAUAUAACAAGGCAAUACGCGGUGUUCGGUGUGCCCUAACGCGGUAGUAGGUGAUACCGGUUAAGGGGGGAAACAUCCGGGAAAAUAUCCCCGGUGUUUCGUGUUUCCGGGCAGAGGAGCCGGAGGGGGAAAGUUGUGAGUUCGAUAGGUUAGGUGUGUGUGGCGGACGAACGGACUGCGUAUCCGGAUUCGUCUCGUCGUUCUGAGCAACUUUCAUGUACAAAGUUUUUCCAUCCGAGCUACGGUUUAUUUUAUAUUAAUUUUUACAGUUUAAAUGAAUUCUUAAAUUUCCUGGAUAUAAAUUAAUUCGAAAAUCAUUUAAUAUUAAAUGCUAAGUGUACAUAGAAAAUGUACACAACAGUGUGCUUGUGAGGUUGAAAAUGGGACCCGGAGGUGUGCUGAGUCAGCAGUCAAAGUCAAUGUUGACCAGUCAACAGAUUUAUUUAAAUGGAUUUAUACAUUGGUGGGGCCGGCAUGUAAUAGGAACAAGUUAUAUCAAAGGUUAUUUAAGAGGGGGGUUCCCACAUGUCAUAGAGUAUAAUUAAAUUAAACCUAAACAUAAAAUUAAACUAACAGUGGGGGGCCCUUGGCUUAAUCUAAACUGAUUAGCCCCUCUCCUAAUCUAAACUGGGGCCGGUCUAAGAGGCCGGGCACGCACGCGGCCUCACAGAGGAGGGCCGGCAGCCGCGGCGGGAAGCUCCGGCAGUGGCGGCCGAGCAAGGAGCAGCAACGGCCGUAGCUCAACAGCAACGAGUAGCAGAGCAGGCGCGCAGCAGCACAAGCGGCGGUUGCACGCGCGAGGGGGGGGGGCGGCAGAGGCGGCGCAGGUGCAGCUAGGCCACGGCCAGAGGCGACGCCGGGCACGCGGGACGCGGCCUGUAGUCUGCGGGUGAAGAAGGACGCGGCUAGGCGGAGGCAAAUCCACGGUGGGCAGGGGCUCGCGGCCUGGGGCGUUGGGGAGCCCAACGGAAGUGGGGAUCCGGCCAUGGCGGACAGCGACGCGCGGGAGCAUCUACGGCGACGAAUCAAGACGAGGAACAAGGGGGAAAUGGAGGGGAUCUCACAGCGAAGCUGUAGGGCAAGUCAGUGGGCUCGGGGAUGCGUCGGGGACGACGAAUCGAUGACGAAGUUGUGCGGCGGCCGACGGGGAAGAAGAUGAAGCAGGCGUCGUCGAUGGGCGACGAGCGGCGCUGGCGAUGGGGCGGCGUUGAGGCGCGAUGGCGUAGGGGUGGGAGGGCGUCACGGCGAGGGGGGUCUCCGGCGUAGUGGGAUGAUGGCGACGAUAGCGGGGUGGCGUCGGGCGACUUCAGGUCUUCGCCCCGAUCUCGAUCCAGAUCGGGGGGCAGGGAGCGAGUGUGGGGGGGUGAGGAGCGAGUGGGGAACGUGGGCUAGGGUUUCGGGGUCCAGGGGGUUAUGGAGGGGUGCGGUUGGGCCGGCUGGCCCAGCCGGUUUUGGCGGCCAGCUGGGCCCGUAGGCCGUGGGAGGGGGUUUCCUCUCUUUUUUUUUGUUAGUUCUGUUUUCUAUUUACUUCUUUUUUUGUUUUUAUUUUAUUCUGGUAUUCACUUUUUAUAAAUCACAAAACAAAUUCCUAAAUUAGUGUUUCAACACAAUCCAAUGUCAAAAAAAAACUUUUACCCUGAAAUAAAAUAGUUUAGCAUUUUACAAAAUACCAAAGGCAUUCAAAUAAUUGUUUUAGCUACUGUUUUGUUCAUGGUUAAAUACUCAAACAUUUUAUAAAAGUUUGAUUUCUACACCAUAAUUACCUGUGCAUUAUUUCACUCACACUAAACAUUUUAGUUUUAAUAUUUGAAAACUUUUAUUGUUUGUUAGAUCUUUUAAAUUGGAUUUGAAUCGGUUUCGAACUAAAUCGAGAUUAGCAACAGUAACCAUGGUGACGUGCCACCAUUAGUGUGGGAUCACUGUAGCUUAAUUAUCCGGGCGUCACACUAUAUCAAACAGUCCAAUGGAAAGGAAGACAUGUUUACACAUAAGAGUUGGGAGUAUAUCCUUCCCAAGGAAAAGCAGAGCAGGAUAUACAUGAUAGGAUAGCAAGUUCAAAAGCAUUUAGAUAAUGGGGCGAGGGAAGAAUCCUGAUAUUACAUUCAACGGUGUUUGGAUAAUAGAUCAAGAAAAAUUCGAUAAUGUGCUUCCAAUGUUCUUGUUGAUAUGCGGAAUACCCCAGUCAUGCUUUGAGGUAGCAUUAACAUGGUGUUACAAGUAGGGGUUGGAGUUGAAGAUCACAAGAAAUACUCAAGGAACAAUUGCAGGAAUAGCAAGGAGCCCAAGGUAUAACCAAGACAUGAUCAAACAUGUGUUGGAAAGAAGACAAGGGGGUUGUCAAUGAUAACUCAAAUCAUUGAAGGUCAAGGAUGGUAUUUCUCACCAUGAAUUCAAUCGUCAUCUCAACGGAAGUCAAAAUGUUGAUGCUGAUCACGAUGCAUUUGUCGAGAGGCUCUAUGAAGAUGCCAUCGAGGAGCGAUGCCAUCAAGCAACAUGAAGGAUGAAGCGAAAGGCUAUUGGAACCACAGAUACGACACAAGCUCAAAAUCAAGCUUGUUGUUCGAGGUGAAUUGAUAAAUGAGGAAGAUCGACGUAAGCUUCGCUCAUUGUUGAAAAGUUGUGCUCUGGGAAUAAGGACCAGGUAGCACAGUUAAAUUAGCACGACAAUGAUAUAGCCGAUCAGGCUAGGAAUGAGGUGACGAAGUAUCACUCCAAUUAAGAAUUUACAAGAGGUAGUGUAAUGACACAAUAUCAUCGAGAUAACAUGAGGCAAUACUUGAAGGUAGAUCAAAUUAGAGGUUGGACAGGUGAAAUGACUUGCAGGAGACAAGUAUUUUAACUUGUCCGGGAAAUGGAAUUAAGGAGAAAUUAUGGUAGGAACCACGAUUAUGAAUGAUAAAACCACCGAUACAAGAUGAACUUAUAACAAGGGGGUAAUUAUUUUUACGAGCAGCUUCCAUGAUAAGUUCUACAUCGGGUCCGUGGGCAUGAACACAAACGUUCAAGGUCGACUCCCACUUCUUCAAUGCAUAACCUUUCAUUCACUCCUCGUUUUUGAAGAAUUUGUAGUGCAAAAGAUUUAUCUGGUGAAGCACCAGAAGAGUAUGACUCACAUCUCUUUCGAGUUCACACAAAUUUUAGGAAAGGUAUAGGUUCAACCCGUAGGGGUAUCUUAGGAACAUAUACCAUUAACUUCCAGAGCAUAUAACAUCAGCUCAAUGACAGAGCAUGGUUGACAAUAAGCAGAGGAUGCAACUUACCGAAGGCAAUAUGUAUCAGGGGAAGAGCGCACAAGAUUUUGAAUAUGAAGGACAUUGCCGGAUAAUAAUCCAACAAAGUAUUCAGCGGUCCUCAAUGUAUCUGAUGUGAGUAUCAGUACUCAAUCAGAAGAGGGAAAGAAUGCGAAGGCAUUAGAUUAUAGAAACAGCUGAAUAAUUCGACGUUCAAGUUGAAGGGAACUAGGUGGACAAUCAAUUACAACAUGAUUGGCCGAGAUCCAACUCAUGUCUAGAAUGACGUAUGAGCAGGAAGGUCAAAUUUCAGGGUUCAACUGAUGAUUGCGAGCAAUCGCAACAUAAUGAAUCAAUAGGCUCAGGAUGACAAUGACAAAGGAUGUUAAUUAAUAUUGCUCGACAUAUGGAUUUAACCAUAAUGCAGGGAGACAAGACUUUCGGGAGCACUAGGCUGCAGAGGAUCUUCAGGAGAUCGAAUUGCAUUCGAAGAAUUUUUAUGAGACAUAUGAUCAACUGGGGAUGAACAAAUCCCUGAUAAGUGUGUGAAUUAUUCGUAGGGUUAUUCAGGCAGAAAAGAGUUGCAAGGCAGUCGAAAAAAAAGGAUUCUCAAAAGUCGGAGAAUACUUUCGGGUAUCUUGUAAUAACGAGAAUAAUUAGGGAUGGAAGUAAGAACGGCGAGGGUACACAGUUAUCCAUAAGGAUUCAACAGUGUUAAGGGAUUGCAAAAGAAAUCAACACAAGUUCUCGGGAAUAGAUCGGAGAAUAUCUUUGAAGUCUUCUGGUGAAGCAGGCAACCAUCCGUAAUGAAGGGGCUCUUCGGGGAAAGUCGUUACGAGAUCCUAAUGUUAGAGUUAGCAAAAUCGUUUAACCCGAAUGGAAGAGAGAUCAGAGUCCCAGAGUAUAGAGAAGGAAUAAAAGAUCCUAAUACCACCCAAUUGGCAACGUGAGCCCAUAAGCCACACAACCAAGUUAGUAAAACAAUUUUCGGUUUCUAGACUCAACUUCGGCCAAGGAGUUGGAAAGGGGGCUACCUACAGGCAGUCGGCUCUGAUACCAACUUGUGAUGCCCUCGAUUCAAUCAUGCACUAAUCGUACACGCAAAUGUGUACGAUCAAGAUCAAGGACUCAUGGGAAGAUAUCAUAACACAACUCUAGACACAAAUUAAAAUAAUACAAGCUUUAUAUUACAAGCCAGGGGCCUCGAGGGCUCGAAUACAUAAGCUCGAAUACACAAGAGUCAGCGGAAGCAACAAUAUCUGAGUACAGACAUAAGCUAGACAAGUUUGCUUUAAGAAGGCUAGCACAAAAGCAUCUACGAUCGAAAAGGCAAGGCCUCCUGCCUGGGAGCCUCCUAACUACUCCUGGUCGUCGGCGUCCGUCACGUGAUAGUAGGCACCGGCGGUGGCAUCUGGCUCCUGGGCUCCGACAUCUGGUUGCAUCAACCAGAAAGAAAAGAAAGGGGGAAAAGGGGGAGCAAAGCAACCAUGAGUACUCAUCCAAAGUACUCGCAAGCAAGGAUCUACACUACAUAUGCAACAUUAUCAAAGGAAGGCUGUAUAUGUGGACUGGGCUGCAGAAAUGCCAGAAUAGAGAGAAGUCCUAGUCCUAUCGAAGACUAGCAUCUUCUGGAAACCACCAUCUUGCAGCAAACAUGAGGGAGUAUAGUAGCAUAAAGUAAAGUAGUAGUAGUGUUAUCAACCUCGGCCAGAGAUCCUUUCUCGACUCCCUGCGAGAAAGCAAUCCCAGAGCCAUACUAUCCAUUUAUCAUCACAAUCCAAUUCUCAUCAUCAUCCAAUUCUCAUCACAAGUAUCCAGUUCUAGUUGUAUCGAUCGGGAUACAACUCCAAGUGUCCGUUACCGUAGGACAGGCUAUCAAUAGAUGUUUUCUUCCCUGCAGGGGUGCACCAAGUUACCCACCACGCUCGCUUAACUCCGGCCGGACACACUUUCCUGGGUCAUGCCCGGCCUCGGCCAAACAAUACGCCGCAACGCGACCUACGCCUAAUAGAGAGGCCAGCACGCCGGACUAAACCUAUGCCCCCAGGGGUGAUGGGCCAUCUCCCCGGGAACUCCUGGACGUUGCGAACGCGGCCGGUGAGCAGACCUAGCUACCUCCUUAAAAAGGUAGGUGCUUACCAGUCCAACCUGGCGCGCGCAGCUCAGUCACUGACGUCUAAUAAGCUUCGGCUGAUGUAUACGACGCAGAACGCCCAUACUAUGCCCACGUGAUUGUUAGUGCUAUCAGGCCAGAGGCCCCUCAGAUCAAAUAUCCAAAUCGUAGUGGAUUAGGAACGUGCGGUAACAAGCAGAGACUCACGAAAGAUGUGACCCCGUUGCCCCGUCUCGAGGACUUGCGGCAAGGGCUAAGAAUGCCCGGCCACGCCUCGUAAUUAUCUCAUGGGCACCUUCCAGGUCAACCCGACUCCACAUCACUCGCAAUUAUGCUCGCGCGGGUACCCCUGAGGGUCGACCCGUCUUUAGUAACAUGGUUCAGUGUCAAGUCAUAGUAACCAUAGUAACCGUGUGUCCAAACAUCAAGGGGAAAACCCGAGGAAUCACCCCCGGUGGAUUCCAGUUGAUGUAAUCAUCAAGGUGAACGUAAGAGGAAUCACCCCCGAGGUUCACACUUGAGGGGUUGCACGACAGAGUCGUAUCGGAAGUGGUUAAGGCGGAAUCACCCUCGAUGACCACGAUCGAAUAACUACACUACAGGGUUAACAUCAGAAGUGCUAUAGAGGUCUCACCCUCGGCACUCGAUAGUAACCCAGCAGUGUCGAGCAACUAAGGGGAAAGUGAUGUGCGGUGCCGGGGCCUGGUCUUCGAUCCCGUUGAUCGGGUCUUCAAUGAUGAAGCAGGGGCAACAAGAAUAAGGUGGGGGUCACUGAUGGAUCACUAACCAACCUAUACUAAGCAGUUUAGGAUAAGCAAGUAAGGUACAACCGCAGAUACAAAAGCAGGCUAUGCAUCAGAAUAGGAGCAAUCAAUANNNNNNNNNNNNNNNNNNNNNNNNNNNNNNNNNNNNNNNNNNNNNNNNNNNNNNNNNNNNNNNNNNNNNNNNNNNNNNNNNNNNNNNNNNNNNNNNNNNNNNNNNNNNNNNNNNNNNNNNNNNNNNNNNNNNNNNNNNNNNNNNNNNNNNNNNNNNNNNNNNNNNNNNNNNNNNNNNNNNNNNNNNNNNNNNNNNCUCGGGGUCUACCGGAAAGAAGUAACAGAGAGGGAACACAAUAAAUAAUAGAGCAAUCAAAGCAUCAUAAAGCAUAACAUGGUAAAACGCGGUGCUAGGAUCGAUCUAACACGGUGCUAGGUUAUACAGACGAAGAGGGAAACCAUCCGGGAAUGUUUUUCCGGUUCCGGACGUCUGUCAGACAAAUGAACCGGAGGGGAAAAGUUCGAGGUUUGCUAAGCUAGGGACAUGUGGCGGACGAACGAAUCGCGUAUUCGGAUUCGUCUCGUCGUUCUGAGCAACUUUCAUGUAUAAAGUUUUUGGAUCCAAGCUACAGUUUAUUUUAUAUGAAUUUUCAAAGCUUUAAACAUUUUUUAAAUGUAUUAAUUCGAAAUAUAAACAACAAAAAGUUUUGUCACCUAGUACUACUCUAGCCAGAGUGUAUUACAGGUGGGGCCAGUGGAUUUAGUCAACAGUUGACCAAUCAAGAUUGACUGGUCAACAGGGUCAAAGCAGGGCCCAUCUGUCAUUGACUUUAGUUUAAUAAAAUGGUAAUUAACAGGGAUGAUCCCACAUGUCAUUUACUUAGGCUAAAUUAGCACUAAAUAAAUACUAAUUAAUCCUAAACCUAAAUCUAAACAAGGGCCGGCCUCAACACAGCCAGCCAUCAGGCUGGCUCACACACACACACGCACCUAGUACACACACAGUGCCACAAAGCACACACGGCCACGACCAUUGCCGUGGCCAGCAACAGCAGCAGCCGGUGGUAGUGGCGCAGCGCAGCCGCUAAGCAAGCAACACAAGCUGCGGCAGCCUGCACGCAGUAGCAGAAGCAGCAAUAAGGGGCAACAGUACAUAAGUAACAGCAGUCUGAGCAGCACAGCAGCGGCAGCUUGCAACAGCAGAGUAGCACGACGCGCGGGGAAGGAGGAGCAGGGCGCGGCCCCGGGCAGCAGGGCCCACGAGCGUGCGCGCACGCGCGAGGCGUAGCCGAGGCGCGGGGCUGUGCGCGCAAGGGAGCAGAGCUCCGUCCGAUCAUGGGAGGUCGCGUUCGGCGGCUUAAGGCAACAGAUCGAAGGGGGAAAAGGAGGAAUCGGGGAAGAAGCUCACCCCGGAGCUCGUGGUGUGGUCGAGGAAGCGACAUGGAGUCGAGGUGGACCGGAGGAGCGGAGGAGCAACGUGGCGGCAACGAACGGAGUCAGGUGCCAAGGUCGAAGGCGGCUCGAUCCAGUCGAUGUAGGUUCUCCGAGCUCGAACGCGUCCCCGUAGUGGAAGGAGAUGAGCGUAGCCGACCUCCUGGAUAAGCUAGUGGGGCUCGGGGUCAUCGGGAAGCACGCGGACGACGAAGGCAAUGGCGACGGCGGCUCGGCUUGUCGCUGGGAGGAAGCAAAGGCGCGAGGGGAAAGGAAGAGGGGACUAGGGUUCGUUCCGCGGGGCAGAGGGGGUCCUUAUCUUCGCGGGGCACCGCUGGAUGGCCGGCGUGUGGCUGGAGGGGC
rnacentral:lncRNA from 1 species